AAGGAUUAAAUCAGAUAAAAUGUAAAGUACUGCCAUAUAUGUUAGUGUAUUCCCAGUUUUUACUUCAUCAAAAACAGAGCAUUUGAUACACAUGCAAGAAUUUUACAACAUUGCAUUUACUCCAAAAAUAAAACUACAUUUUAAAA